ACUAAAUGUGAAGAUGUGCCUGUAAAGAUUGAAAAUGGCUUUGUAAUAAAAGAUGACACAAAUGGAACAUCCGUGAAAAUAAUCUGUAAUAAAGACGCCUUUGUCGCAGGAACUAACGAUACCACGACCACCAUUCGUUGCGUUGAUGGAGAAUGGGAUCAUCCAUUCCCAUCAUCAUGUAAAGAACCAACAUGCCCACCUCCUCCACUGACAUUAUGGAAUGGUAUUGUCAAAAGGCAAAAUAAUACAGUAUCAUUCAUUUGUGAUGACGAUUACUAUAUACCCAGUACAUCAGAUGUGGAACUCGUAGUAACAUGUGAAAAUGAAGAGUGGGAUAAAGACUUCCCAGUAGGGUGUGUUGAUUCUGUAGAAGGAACACUAAAUUCUUUUUGUAAGUUGAGCUCAUUUUCUACAUGUUGGUCAUAUAUUAGUUAAAAUUCAAAUGUCCAGUUUCUAUUUGAUGUCUGAUUUUCGAGACAUCUCUUAUAAUACUGCUAUAAGCAAUAGGCCUAAGAACAGUAUUACAUUUCUCAGUAAUUAUUCUUUAUUAUAAAAUAGUUAGGUUUAAAGAAACACAAAUGGAGUAACGUAAUUUCAAAAAAACAUUAAUACUUAUUAUUAUAGCCCAGGGGCGGAGAUCAGAAACAAAAAAAAAAACCAAAAAAAAAACAAAAAGAAAAAACUUUCACUAAUUAGUAGGAUUAUUCCCAUGAAAUGGUUUGUUCCGUUGUGAUGUUUAUCUGAUAGUAAUAAUAAUAAUAAUAAUAUUUAUUUGGACUUACACAUUUACAGCAGUGGCAUACUUUGAAACACGAAGGUGGGUGCGUCUGAGAAACAAAACUAUUACAUCAAAAGUAAAAAGAUCAACUAACUUCAAUCAAAUCAAAACAGCUUACACAUUAAUCCUUUCUUCCCUCCCCAUCCCUCUCUGAACAGUUCAAAUUGUACCCUUUCCAUUAAAUAAGACUUUACUUAACUUUGCCCCAUAUUUUAUUAAAACAAUACAAAAUACUAAGUACGGUACUCUUCUUUCCUCUUCUCUCCCUAAGCAAUGCAAAUAUUUACCUCUUCUUUUAAAACAUUAUAUAAUUUGAACAUCAAGAGUUUUCAUGCUCUUUUGGUGUAUAGCUUUUUCUUUGGGGGUGGG